GAUGAAGAACGCAGCGAAAUGCGAUACGUAAUGUGAAUUGCAGAUUUCAGUGAAUCAUCGAAUCUUUGAACGCACAUUGCGCCCGCCAGUAUUCUGGCGGGCAUGCCUGUUCGAGCGUCAUUUCAACCAUCAAGCGCCUCGCUUGUGUUGGGGCCCUGCGGCUGCCGCAGGCCCCUAAAUCCAGUGGCGGGCUCGUCGUCGUACCGAGUGCAGUAAACAUCCUCGCUCAGGGAACCCGACGGGUGCCGGCCGUGAAACCCCCCCUCCUCAAGGUUGACCUCGGAUCAGGUAGGAAUACCCGCUGAACUUAAGCAUAGCAAUAAGCGGAGGA
rnacentral:misc_RNA from 1 species